GUGCUAAGUGUCUCGCGAUAAGUGUCUGGCACUCAGGGUCAUCACUUAGGGCUGCACCCGCCCCACCCCCAUCACACGCAGGUCACUUGCUAGCUGCCAGCUCUCCCCCUCAGAUGGCAAUCAGGGGACGCUGAGACACGGAACUGUGUCUGCCUCUGUUUCCAACAAACUCGUGAUCUUUCGUCUCUCUCUGCCCUCAAAAGAAAAAAAAGAAAGUCCAGGCUUAUGGUGGACUUCCUUGGUGGCUCAGCGAUAAAGAAUCUGCCUGCUAAUGUGUGAGACAUGGGUUCAAUCCCUGGGUCAGGAAGAUUCCCUAGAGAAGGAAAUGGCAACCCACUCCAGUAUUCUUGCCUGGAAAGUUCCAUGGACAGGAGCAAGCUACAGUCUAUCGGGUCACAGAGAGAUGGACACGACUUGGCGACUGCACAACACCGACAAGGCAUAUGGAAAAAAUCCCGAAUUUCUCGAUUGUUCCAAGGAGAGGAAGAAUGGAAGAAACAGCAGGUUUCACCUUGGAGCAGGGCCUGAGACCUGUAGCGUGUCUCCCAGGCCAGCGCUGCCACUGGGACUCUGGGACCAAACAAAAAGAAGAACGAAAGCAGAAUCAAGAUUCAGAUUCACGUAGACCAGUGGUCGUAACAGACAGACGUCCUCCCACAGUGCUGAGAAGAAACCUGCCAUGAAGGAUUAACCACGAGUCUGGAGUGUACACUGAUGAAGGCAGGGUAAGCAAGUGAGAUUCUUAUCCUCCGUUGGUAGAGGGUUGGAGGAGGAGUGGGAGUAGGAGGGGCAGA
rnacentral:lncRNA from 1 species